CCUGUUUAUCCAGGAAGUGCCGCUCAGAAGGCUUUCCAGGGAGUCGCGCUCCACGCUCAGCCUCGGGGCGAGAAGGCCGGGGCUCCGGGGGCAGAGCGGAGAGGAGGGUGUGAGUGUCGAGACUGUAUAUUGCUGCAAACUCAGAACAAAAACAAAACAAACAAUUUGCUAUGUGAUCAUUUGCUUUACUAUCUUCAAGCAAGUAGUAGUGGAGGCCAAAAGUUUAAGAAAAUUAUAUGUGAGACAAAGAAAAUUGAGAAAUUCUACCUAACUGAAAUUCUUCUUUCAAUUAUCAAAAGUCCAGAUCAUUCCAUUUUAAUAGCAGAACACUUGGUGCAGCCUGUGGACACAGACUGGGAACCGGUGCUUGCUCCAAGAUGUAGACCUAAAAAUAUUCUGUCAGUGAGGCAGGGCAUGUGGUAAGGCUAUCCUCUCCUCAGAGCAGGUGGGGUACCUGGUAAGUCCCUCGAGGAGGGACUAUCUCAUCCCGGCUCCACAGUUUCCAGCUGAGUGACCUCUGGCAAGAGAUCUUGACAUCUCCACCUUAGAGGGGGUGCUGCACAGAUUCAAUGAGCAAAUGGAGGUUUGUUUCUGAGAGCGGGGCCUGGCAUCCAGAAAGUGAUUAUUAAAUAUUCCCUCGUGACAUUAUCUCCUAAUGCCAUGGAGGACACCAAGAUGGAACUUUGAAAACAGGAUUCAGAGAAACGGACUUUGGCCCAGUGGUUAGGGUGUCCGUCUACCAUAUGGGAGGUCCACGGUUCAAACCCCGGGCCUCCUUGACCCAUGUGGAGCUGGCCAUGCGCAGUGCUGAUGCGCGCAAGGAGUGCCGUGCCACGCAAGGGUGUCCCCCGCGUGAGAGCCCCAUGCGCAAGGAGUGCGCCUGUGAGGAGAGCAGCCCAGUGUGAAAAGAAAGAGCAGCCUGCCCAGGAAUGGCGCCGCCCACACUUCCCGUGCCGCUGACGACAACAGAAGCGGACAAAGAAACAAGACGCAGCAAAUAGACACCAAGAACAGACAACCAGGGGAGGGGGGGAAAUUAAAUAAAUAAAUAAAUCUUUAAAAAAAAAAAGAAAACAGGAUUCAUUAUUUCAUAUAUUUAUCCGUGCCUUCCCGGGGAGCGCCUUCAGGGGCCAUCCUCUACUCAGGUCCACCCUGCGACUCCUAAGUACAAUAAAGACAGGGUAUUCCCGGAGCAUGUCAGUUCUGAGAAGUCUAUUUUAAAAAGUGGCCUCUCCCAGGAAAGUGGCAUUUACACCACCUCAGUAAUACCGACCUGAAGAGCAGACUCAUUUAAGUAGUUUGAGGCCCUAGAAAGUACCUGGCAGCACAGC
rnacentral:lncRNA from 1 species